rnacentral:rRNA from 1 species
AGGGCGGGACACGUGGUAUCCUGUCUGAAUAUGGGGGGACCAUCCUCCAAGGCUAAAUACUCCUGACUGACCGAUAGUGAACCAGUACCGUGAGGGAAAGGCGAAAAGAACCCCGGCGAGGGGAGUGAAAAAGAACCUGAAACCGUGUACGUACAAGCAGUGGGAGCCCCACCACUAAGCCAGUGGUGAACUCCACAUACGCAUCCUUUGCUGAGGAUACGGUUAACGGAGCGAAAGCGACGUUCAACCUCAAAAGAAGCAGAGGGGGCUUAGUGGUGGGGUGACUGCGUACCUUUUGUAUAAUGGGUCAGCGACUUAUAUUCUGUAGCAAGGUUAACCGUAUAGGGGAGCCGCAGGGAAACCGAGUCUUAACCGGGCGUUAAGUUGCAGGGUAUAGACCCGAAACCCGGUGAUCUAGCCAUGGGCAGGUUGAAGGUUGGGUAACACUAACUGGAGGACCGAACCGACUAAUGUUGAAAAAUUAGCGGAUGACCUGUGGCUGGGGGUGAAAGGCCAAUCAAACCGGGAGAUAGCUGGUUCUCCCCGAAAGCUAUUUAGGUAGCGCCUCGUGAACUCAUCUCCGGGGGUAGAGCACUGUUUCGGCUAGGGGGCCAUCCCGGCUUACCAACCCGAUGCAAACUGCGAAUACCGGAGAAUGUUAUCACGGGAGACACACGGCGGGUGCUAACGUCCGUCGUGAAGAGGGAAACAACCCAGACCGCCAGCUAAGGUCCCAAAGUCAUGGUUAAGUGGGAAACGAUGUGGGAAGGCCCAGACAGCCAGGAUGUUGGCUUAGAAGCAGCCAUCAUUUAAAGAAAGCGUA